CCCAAACUGCUGGGAUUACAAGCGUGAGUCACCACCCCUGGCCUAAAAUAAAGUAAUUCUUAAUGAAAUUUACUUAAGUUUAUCUCCCUCCGUCAGGCUCCUGAACUUUGAGCUACCCUCGGUCUGAGUCGACAUACAACCCCAUUUACGUCCCUCCUAAGAACAUGCUGAUUUCAGGGAAAGAAAGUCCUUUUGUGCCUACAGUUUUGCAAGCCACAAAGACCUUAUAGUAUUGUUGUCUCUAACCCAGACCUGAUCACCUGGCUACAGCAAGGAAAAGAAACUUUGACCAUGAAGAGACAGGUGAUGAUUGCCAAACACACAGAUGGACUCACAGCCUGUCACCCAGGCUGGAGUGCAGUGCU
rnacentral:lncRNA from 1 species